UUAACCACGGUUCCAGUCUUUUCUGUAGGACUGUGUACUGUCCAGUGGAGGCUAAUAAUAACCCAGCUUUAGGAAGCAGGGCUAUUCAACUCUGUGGCUACCCCUGUGCCAAAAAGACUGGAACAUGC